UCCAAAAGAAAGCACAGGGUUGAUCAGAGCUUCUCUCCCUUCUGAACACAAGCCAAAGGCCCAUAUGGGAGAGAGGACCAGAGCCACCUGUGCACGCUAUAAAAAGCAGCAACUCCGGUAACCCCUUUCUGUUUAACAUCCAGGGGAAGAGCACAGAGCUUCCAAACCACCUUCCCAACAUAGAAGCCUGUCAGCAAGCUGAUCACUGUUACCGAAUCCAGAGGUGCUCUGCAAUCCAGUUUGCACAAGGUCAGAACCCUAAGUCAGCUCCGAUGUUCUGCACCUUCCCUGGGGUUGGGCAAGGCCUUAUGCAAUUCAUGGUCAUCAACCAGGUAUGUGAUUAAAUUACAAAUGUUUGUUUACUGGAAAAAACACCAAGACUCCGCUGUAAAGUUAGAUAGUCUCUCUUUUUUUUUUUUUUACCAAUGCUACCUGGUCACUAUUCUCCCCAUUGUUACUGGCCCUGAUGUUAGUGGCAUCUACUCUCCCCAGGGCCCAAUUGUGAGAAAUGAUUAUUAAUAACCAAUAUGUUGGGGAGACUCAGAUCCCUCCCCUUCUUCCAAAGUCCUGAAAGUUCAGUCUCUUGAAGGACAUUACUGAUAAUGAGAUUGAAUUAACUCUCCUCAGUUUUGAUAAGACCCCACCCAACCUUACAAGGAAUUUAAUCUAAGGUGGCUGAAGCCUAUUGUUUUCUACUCAAGCUUGGAGGAAGACAGAUCCUUUUGUCCUGAUAACCCAAGGCUACCCAAGGUCUGGGUAUAGAGAUAGCAUGAUACCACUCUUAGCCCCUCAUUGAACACCCAAGGUAUAUAAACUGUAAGCCACCAUGAUUGUCUUUGGUCUAAGAGAGAAAGCCCAAUGACCACCCUUUUAUUAAUAACCUGCUGGC
rnacentral:lncRNA from 1 species